GUUUCAGCCUGUGACACACGCGGGAACGAAACAGAGGAGACUAACAUUGUCACUGGCGCGAGGAAGACACGGACCGUCGUGAAGCGUUCGCAAUUAUU
rnacentral:snRNA from 1 species